rnacentral:lncRNA from 1 species
UUCGAUUUUUGAGAAAGCAAUCAUGCUGGGGGUCUGGCUCUCGAGAUUCGGAGAGCAGUGUCUCUUCGAUUUUUGAGGAAGUAAUCAUGUUGGGAGUCUGGCUCUCGAGAUUCGGAGGGCGGUGCCUCUUCGAUUUUGGAGCAAGCAAUCUUGUUGGGAGUGUUGUCUCGAAUGUGAGUAAAGGUUGGGCAUGUUUGCUAGUCUACCUUGCCACGAAGCACAAAGGUUGACACACAGGGACUUUCCAAUUAUCCAGCAAUGGUACUGUUCCUUUACCCUCUCUUCGAUUUUGAGAAAGUAGUCAUGUUGGGAGUCUGGCUCUCGAGAUUCGGAGGACGGUGCCUCUUCGAUUUUGGAGCAAGCAAUCUUGUUGGGAGUGUUUUUCUCGAAUGUGAGUAAAGGUUGGGCAUGUUUGCUAGUCUACCUUGCCACGAAGCACAGAGGUUGACACACAGGGACUUUCCAAUUAUCCAGCAGUGGUACUGUUCCUUUACCCUUGUGGGUAAUAAUAUGGUAGCUAGACCUUCAAAAUUUAUGUGUCUAAACUUUGUUAGUGCUGUUUCUUUGCUAUUCUUUUACCUUUCUUGGUCAGAGCGAUGUAGUGGGAGCUGCAAGCUUCACGUGCUCAACUUUGGCAGAGAACUUUGGCAAAGUUAUCUGUGGUACCCAUGAGCUAUUGUUGCGUGUGGGAAGUGGGUGAUUGAACAGUAAGAUUCAUGUGCUUUCUACUUCACCAGAAGUCUUCGACAGAAUGCCCAUAAUUUCUGCAAAGCUGAGUGUGCGUGUGACAGGUGCUGACAAGGCUAGAAAAGUAGGUGCCUCUUCGAUUUCUGAGAUCGGCCCUCGUGGUCUCUGAGCAGCCCAGCUUUUGAGAAAGCGAGCGCCUCUUCGAUUGAUUCGGAGAACGAUGCCUCAUCGAUUUUUGAGAAAGCAAUCAUGCUGGGGGGUCUGGCUCUCGAGAUUCGGGGAGCAGUGUCUCUUCGAUUUUUGAGAAAGUAAUCAUGUUGGGAGUCUGGCUCUCGAGAUUCGGAGGGCGGUGCCUCUUCGAUUUUGGAGCAAGCAAUCUUGUUGGGAGUGUUUUCUCGAAUGUGAGUAAAGGUUGGGCAUGUUUGCUAGUCUACCUUGCCACGAAGCACAGAGGUUGACACACAGGGACUUUCCAAUUAUCCAGCAAUGGUACUGUUCCUUUACCCUCUCUUCGAUUUUUUAAGAAAGUAGUCAUGUUGGGAGUCUGGCUCUCGAGAUUCGGAGGACGGUGCCUCUUCGAUUUUGGAGCAAGCAAUCUUAUUGGGAGUGUUUUCUCGAAUGUGAGUAAAGGUUGGGCAUGUUUGCUAGUCUACCUUGCCACGAAGCACAGAGGUUGACACACAGGGACUUUCCAAUUAUCCAGCAGUGGUACUGUUCCUUUACCCUUGUGGGUAAUAAUAUGGUAGCUAGACCUUCAAAAUUU